rnacentral:rRNA from 1 species
GAUGAACGCUGGCGGCGUGCCUAAUACAUGCAAGUCGAGCGAACGGACGAGAAGCUUGCUUCUCUGAUGUUAGCGGCGGACGGGUGAGUAACACGUGGAUAACCUACCUAUAAGACUGGGAUAACUUCGGGAAACCGGAGCUAAUACCGGAUGAUAUUUUGAACCGCAUGGUUCAAAAGUGAAAGACGGUCUUGCUGUCACUUAUAGAUGGAUCCGCGCUGCAUUAGCUAGUUGGUAAGGUAACGGCUUACCAAGGCAACGAUGCAUAGCCGACCUGAGAGGGUGAUCGGCCACACUGGAACUGAGACACGGUCCAGACUCCUACGGGAAGCAGCAGUAGGGAAUCUUCCGCAAUGGGCGAAAGCCUGACGGAGCAACGCCGCGUGAGUGAUGAAGGUCUUCGGAUCGUAAAACUCUGUUAUUAGGGAAGAACAUAUGUGUAAGUAACUGUGCACAUCUUGACGGUACCCAAUCAGAAAGCCACGGCUAACUACGUG